rnacentral:rRNA from 1 species
CCCUUAGAUGUUCUGGGCGGCCCGCGCACUACAUUGGCACUGGCAACAAGAUCCUAGAUCUGGUAUUUCGGGGUAUUCUACCAACUGGUGUCGUGACUGGGAUUAACCCCUGCAAUUAUUGGUUAUGAACGAGGAAUUCCUUGUAAUCACGGUUUAUCAACCCGUGUUGAAUGCGUCCCUGCCCUUUGUACACACCGCCCGUCGCUCCUACCGAUGAAUCGUCCGGUGAAGUUCAUGGAGUCGCGGCUGCUCCAGCUGUUUUCGAAGUGAAAUGGACCUCAUGAUUUAGGGGAAGGGGAAGUCGUAACA